CAUAGCAAGAACAAAGGAAGAAAAGAAGAACAAAAACCCUAGAGUGAAAAUUCAAGAGAAAAUUGGUGGAUUUCAAGUAAUCAAGACAUCAAAGGUGAAAUUUCUUAACUCUAGCUUGUGAUUUAUCUUUCCUAUGCAUUCUUUUGCAUUUCCCAUGGUUGAAUCACAAGAUAUCAUGAAGCAUUCAUGGCUGACCGAAUUUAGAGAGAGAAGAUUUGAUAAUUUAUUUGGUUAGAUUUUGAGAUAUUUUAGUGUUUAUAGUUGAUUUAUCUUGUUUGGAAGGAAAACAAGUAAGAAAAAUCACAUAUUCUUCAUGGAUUCUUCAUUGGCCGAAUUUCAUAAAGACAAUAUUGAAGAUGAAUCUUGUGAUGUCUUAUGUUAUUUAGUUAUAAUUUAAUGAAUUGUGGUGGUGGAAACCGAAAAUGGUAAUGUUUAGCAUGAAAAACCGUAUUCCCCUUAAGAACCUCCAUUGGCCGAAUCUUCCCUAUGGUGUGUUGAUGGUGGACUUGAUUUUAUUUCAAGUGAAUUGGUUAGGAAAUGAUGAAUUAUGGUGAGAAAAUCAAGUAGGAAAAAUCAUAGUGUUGAUGCACUCACCAUGGCCGAAAUUCUCAAGAAGAAAUGUGAGGAUGGUUUUGCUAAAUUUUAUGUUAUUUGACUUGUGUUUGAUGAUUUGGAGUAUUGGGAGAAAAAUGGAAUUAUUUGGAGUUAUAUUGGACAUAUUGGCCAAUUAAUCGGGUGAUAGAUCGAAUUAGGCCAAUACCAUUUUAUUUAGGUACAUAAUUGAAUUUAUAUUGAACACUGUAUUUAGAUAGUUACCCGAGUAUUUCACAUCCCAUUUCAUGCAUUAGUAUAAAGCUUGAAUUGGUUUUAUAACAAUUUAGCACAAAUGUAGUAAAUGGCUUAUUGUGCAUUAUGUCUAGGUGGUGAGCAUUUUGGCAAAAGUAAAGAGAUAGUACCCGAGGAUCAAGAAUCGGAGUACUCAGAAUUCGAUUCCCAUUGUAGUGAGUAACCUUAUUAUCGUCUUAAUUAUCUAAAGUAGUUUUUAUCUUAUUUUGUGAUUUUAUGAAAAAUGAGUUUAAAUGGCAAAUCUUUAUGUUUUAUAAGCAAAAUGUGAUUAAAUGAAAUGAUUUUAUAAAUUGUCUUGAAAUUGAAAAAUGGUUUUGAAAAUGGAGUAAUUGAAGACUAAUUGUUGUGUUGUAAAUUAUGGUGUGAAUUGAAUGGCUUAUGAUAAUGUGGGCAUGAGUGGCUGGAUUUGGUAAAUGUGCUGAAAAAGUAUGAACUGUUGAUUUGCCUUGGGAGGCUGUAAAAUAAAAUAAUUGCCAUGUCAUGCUGUUAAAUUUUUAUUGACUUGGUGGGUUAUAAAUUGGUCGCUGCAGUGGACGGAUUCCAUGGACCAGCCUAUUAGAGGGGCAUGGUAACCCUAUUAUAUUCAUACCUCAGUAUGAGAGGCGCAGUUGGAUAACUCCUAAGGUUAAAACUUUAGAGUUCACUUCAUGCCAAACCACCACGUGAGGGUGAACUCAGCCAAUGCCAAGGAACGACUAUGUUUUCAAAAUAAAAAUAUGAUUUAUGCUUACAUGACUUUUUAACAGCCUUGGUGGACUCGGUUGGGAUAGCCCUAGGCCAAGGUAUCCUUGAUAACUGAGUAUGAGAAUGAUUUUGGCACAAGCCAAACUUUUCAGGAAAUCAUAAGCGUUGUUGUUUAUUUUGGUGAAAUGAAUCUAUUUUAUCUUAUUAAAAUGAGUUGAAAAUGUUGUGAAUCAUUUUUAUGCUAAUCUAUUUUAUCUGUCUCCAUUUACUCAGCUUUAGAUAUUUUAGAUGGUAUUUGUUUACUCAUUAGGAUUAUAUAAUCUUACCACCCUCCUUUUCACCCAUUUCAGGUUCAGUAUAGUCAGUAGAUAGCUCACUUUGUUGAGGGCUACAAUUGGACUUGCAUCCUUAAAAAUUGUAGGUUUACCGUCUUUGAUACUUUUGGUCGUUCGUGGGCCCACGUGUCACUGUAAAUUAAAUUUUAUACUUUGGUUAUCUGUAUUAUAGUAUGUAUGAAUUUAUUUAGCUUUUAC
rnacentral:lncRNA from 1 species